rnacentral:lncRNA from 1 species
CGGUUUUCAUCUUUUCCCCGUGCGUUGCGCGUGCUUGCUUACGUAUUUCGGUUCCUCAACCAUGGGCCCGCGAAAAGAAGAAAUACUCCCUGUAUCUCAACAAAUUCCCUCUCUCAGGUCGAAAUUCAGUUUAUCAAAACGAGGCUCCUUCCGUUGGCACAAUCACGAUAUUACCCACAGGGAGUAAGCGCACUAUCCGCGAGAAAGCCCUUGUCAAAGAAAAGCUCUCUCUUAACUCUCAACCCUUCUCUCGAUAAAGAAGGUCUCUUGAGGGUAAACGGACGAUUAUCCCAAUCCGGGCUCAGUUAUAAUGAACGCCACCCCGUAAUUGUGCCCGAAAAGUCUCGAUUUUGUUGCUUGUAUCUGACUUUCCUCCACAAACUACUUCUGCAUGCAGAACAAAGGCUAAUGUUUCGCAUGGCCCGCCAAGAGUUUUACAUUCCCCGGCUGAAGCCGCAGAUUAAGAAAUGUAUCCACCUCUGCAAGGUCUGUGCGCUUCAUAAACAGCGGGCUCAGUCUCAAAUCAUGGCUGCGCUUCCCCCAGAACGCUGUAGUUUGUCCACCCCUUUCUCGACAACUGGUGUAGACUUCGCUGGUCCAUUUCAGAUUAAAGCGUCUCAGCUCAGAACGGCAACCUUUCUCAAAGGUUAUGUCGCGGCUUUUGUUUGCUUCUGGCUGUGCAUCUAGAAUUGUGCUCUAAUCUCACAACAGAAGCAUUUCGCGCAGCUUUCGCAAGAUUCGUCGGCCGAAGGGGUCUGCCUCGUAAGAUUAUGUCCGACAACCUUCGUUGGAGCACACCGAGCGCUCAGCAGAGAAUUUCUGGAGUUUUCGAAAGAAGUUUCCAAGGACAUUCUAUCAAAUUAUUCCCCGCAAGGAGUUGACUGGGUAUUCAUCCCCCCAGGUGCCCCCCAUAUGGGCGGCCUUUGGGAGUCAGCUGUCAAAAGCUUCAAAACCCAUUUGAAAAAGAUAGCUGGCAACCAUAAAUUCAAUUUCGAAGAGUUCUCCACGCUUCUAACCCGUAUUGAGGCAGUUCUGAAUUCCCGACCUUUAUCUCCCCUAUCACAUGAUCCUAAUGAUAUUUUAGCUCUCACCCCAGGUCACUUUCUGAGAGGCGCUCCACUCACGGCGAUUCCCGAACCCGACGCGGAAAACAUCUCACUGGUCAACCGCUGGGAAAAGCUGAAGGCUUUGCAUCAUCAGUUUAGCCGUAGAUGGAAGGAUGAAUAUAUUAAGGAGCUCCACAAGCGCUAUAAAUGGCAACAUCCGCAGAAGGAGAUCGAAGAAGGUCAAAUGGUGGUUAUCAAGGACGAGCUGCUACCCCCGCACGAAUGGCGGUUAGGACGCAUCAUUAAAAUUCAUCGCGGACCCGAUAGCUAUGUCCGGGUCGCAGAUGUCCGCACGCAGUCGGGCGUACUUACACGUCCGAUUGUGAAGUUGUGUGUUUUGCCGUCCUCGUAACUAAUAAAUCCCUUUAUUAUCCCUAUACAAUCACUUUGCUUUCAACUCAUCAUAUACCAACACUAAAGCCCUUUCUAUUUACAGUUAACAUGUCCGACGCCGAGGUCAUCCGCUGUCAGAUCUGCCAUCGCCAACACGCACUGCGGUUUUGCAAAGGAUUCAAGGCUAUGAAUCCCGGGCAACGCGACGACGUGGUACGCGCACAUGGCUACUGUCGCAAUUGUUUGGCCCGGUCCCACAUCACCGGCUGCUGUGACUCGCGGCAUAGCUGCCAAAGAUGCGGUCUCGCCCAUCACACCAUGCUGCACGUCGAGGAAGGUCAGCCCAGUUAUCGACAGACCCGAGCUACACAAGCCAGACGUCGUGAUUACGACCAGGCCACCUCGCGGACCAUUAGGCAUUCCCAUGCCCGAUCUUCGCACUCUCAUUCCCGACAACGGCGUGAAAGUAGAAGCCGCUCCUUGCGGCGCCUGAGCAAAAGCCGCACCCCGCGGCGAGUAAGCAGAAGCCGCUCCCCGCGGCGCGGAAGCAGAUACCAGACUCCGCGACGGACGAGUCGAAGCCGCACCCCGCAGUAGGAGAGCAAGAGACGUACCCAACUGAACCGCCAAUCUCGGCGUGCUAGUAGAAGCCGAACCCCCUUGAACACGAAAAAGAGUCGUACGCCACAGCGGUCGACACAAGACCGGAACACAUCAGCACAGCGACGCUCCAUACGGUUCGCCCGAACUCCUUCUCGUAAACGAAGUGUUGGCUUCCGACAUACAAACCGAGGCAUCGAGACGGCGCGCUAUCAAAAGGAAAGGGCGAGAUCCCUACUCGCCUCCGCGAUUCGAUCCUUGUCGGACCUUCGAAACGUUUUUUAAUGACUGGAGUUAAACAAAAUAUGCCGAGGCAAUGUGUUUGCAAGUGCACCUCCGAGGGAGCUUCUCUUUACAAAUUUCCUUCGGAUAGAGAAAUAUCCAGGCUUUCGGGCUUUCGGACGGGAACGGCGCGUGUUUAAGCAAAUUUUUUCAAUAAAUAGAAUUUAGUUAUUCACAUCUGCCUGAUUUUCGUUUAUCUAGUUGUGUAGUUUUAUUUUUAUUCAGUUGAUGACAAUCAAUUAACCUGAACAAAAAAUUAUUUACAACUAGUUAACCUUAUUACCGGGAUGGUAUGAUUAUCUUCAAUAUCUUGUAAGAAAAUGUUGUUUAUAUUAAUAUAUGUAAUAAACGUUUCAUGACGAUUCAGA